rnacentral:rRNA from 1 species
UACGGAGGGUGCAAGCGUUAUCCGGAUUCACUGGGUUUAAAGGGUGCGUAGGUGGGUUGAUAAGUCAGUGGUGAAAUCCCCGAGCUUAACUUGGGAACUGCCAUUGAUACUAUUGAUCUUGAAUACCGUGGAGGUCAGCGGAAUAUGUCAUGUAGCGGUGAAAUGCUUAGAUAUGACAUAGAACACCAAUUGCGAAGGCAGCUGGCUACGCGAAUAUUGACACUGAUGCACGAAAGCGUGGGGAUCAAACAGGAUUAGAUGACCC